GCUGACGUAGCUCAACUGGUAGAGCAGCCGCCUUGUAAGCGGCAGGUUGUGGGUUCAAGUCCCGCCGUCAGCUCCU
rnacentral:tRNA from 1 species